GUCCCUCCUUCCUUUUUUCAAUACUGACCAAAUUAGCCUUUCGGUCCUUCUGGAUGCCAUCAAUGUUGUGUAAUAAGUCUAUAAGUCUUGUUUCUAAAUCUUGUAAGUGCCCGGAUGUCUUAGCAUUAUUAGUGACUUCGUCAAGAGGAAUAACGUUGCAUUUCUGGUGUUCUUUAAUGCAUUUGAAACAAAUAGGUAACGCAUCCUGAAUGCAGUAUUGCUGAUACUUUUCAUUGUGAUAGGUACAUGACUGAUGUAUAUCAGUAAUGAAGGACGGAAGAGAUUUGUACUUGUCUAUUGACAUGAGUUCGUGACUUCGUGUUGCUUUAAACACUUUAUGAUGUUCUCUGCAGUCAUCACAAAUGGCUUCCUCACAUUCCGCGCACCAGUAUUCAGAUGGUUUGGUUAUGUGUCGCUGUGAACAUGGACCACAAAGAGUUGUACUAGAAGCCAUGGGGAUUAC
rnacentral:lncRNA from 1 species